AACGAUGAAAGCGGGUGCUUGCACCGUGGAUUAGUGGCGAACGGGUGAGUAACACGUGAGCAACCUGCCCUGGACUCUGGGAUAAGCGCUGGAAACGGUGUCUAAUACUGGAUAUGAGCUCUCAUCGCAUGGUGGGGGUUGGAAAGAUUUUUUGGUCUGGGAUGGGCUCGCGGCCUAUCAGCUUGUUGGUGAGGUAAUGGCUUACCAAGGCGUCGACGGGUAGCCGGCCUGAGAGGGUGACCGGCCACACUGGGACUGAGACACGGCCCAGACUCCUACGGGAGGCAGCAGUGGGGAAUAUUGCACAAUGGGCGGAAGCCUGAUGCAGCAACGCCGCGUGAGGGAUGACGGCCUUCGGGUUGUAAACCUCUUUUAGCAGGGAAGAAGCGUGAGUGACGGUACCUGCAGAAAAAGCGCCGGCUAACUACGUGCCAGCAGCCGCGGUAAUACGUAGGGCGCAAGCGUUAUCCGGAAUUAUUGGGCGUAAAGAGCUCGUAGGCGGUUUGUCGCGUCUGCUGUGAAAUCCCGAGGCUCAACCUCGGGUCUGCAGUGGGUACGGGCAGACUAGAGUGCGGUAGGGGAGAUUGGAAUUCCUGGUGUAGCGGUGGAAUGCGCAGAUAUCAGGAGGAACACCGAUGGCGAAGGCAGAUCUCUGGGCCGUAACUGACGCUGAGGAGCGAAAGGGUGGGGAGCAAACAGGCUUAGAUACCCUGGUAGUCCACCCCGUAAACGUUGGGAACUAGUUGUGGGGACCAUUCCACGGUUUCCGUGACGCAGCUAACGCAUUAAGUUCCCCGCCUGGGGAGUACGGCCGCAAGGCUAAAACUCAAAGGAAUUGACGGGGACCCGCACAAGCGGCGGAGCAUGCGGAUUAAUUCAAUGCACCCCGAAGAACCUUACCAUGGCUUGGCAUAACCAGAACACCGUAAAAAUUACA
rnacentral:rRNA from 1 species